GAUGAACGCUGGCGGCGUGCCUAAUACAUGCAAGUCGAGCGAACAGAUGAGGAGCUUGCUCCUCUGACGUUAGCGGCGGACGGGGGAGUAACACGUGGAUAACCUACCUAUAAGACUGGGAUAACUUCGGGAAACCGGAGCUAAUACCGGAUAAUAUAUUGAACCGCAUGGUUCAAUAGUGAAAGACGGUUUUGCUGUCACUUAUAGAUGGAUCCGCGCCGCAUUAGCUAGUUGGUAAGGUAACGGCUUACCAAGGCAACGAUGCGUAGCCGACCUGAGAGGGUGAGCGGCCACACUGGAACUGGGACACGGUCCAGACUCCUACGGGAGGCAGCAGUAGGGAAUCUUCCGCAAUGGGCGAAAGCCUGACGGAGCAACGCCGCGUGAGUGAUGAAGGUCUUCGGAUCGUAAAACUCUGUUAGUAGGGAAGAACAAAUGUGUAAGUAACUAUGCACGUCUUGACGGUACCUAACCAGAAAGCCACGGCUAACUACGUG
rnacentral:rRNA from 1 species